rnacentral:rRNA from 1 species
GACGAACGCUGGCGGCGUGCCUAAUACAUGCAAGUCGAGCGGACCACUUCGGUGGUCAGCGGCGGACGGGUGAGUAACACGUGGGCAACCUGCCUGUAAGACUGGGAUAACACCGGGAAACCGGUGCUAAUACCGGAUAAUCCUUCUCUUCUCAUGAAGAGAAGCUGAAAGACGGUUUCGGCUGUCACUUACAGAUGGGCCCGCGGCGCAUUAGCUAGUUGGUGAGGUAACGGCUCACCAAGGCAACGAUGCGUAGCCGACCUGAGAGGGUGAUCGGCCACACUGGGACUGAGACACGGCCCAGACCCCUACGGGAGGCAGCAGUAGGGAAUCUUCCGCAAUGGACGAAAGUCUGACGGAGCAACGCCGCGUGAGCGAUGAAGGCCUUCGGGUCGUAAAGCUCUGUUGUCAGGGAAGAACAAGUACCGGAGUAACUGCCGGUACCUUGACGGUACCUGACCAGAAAGCCACGGCUAACUACGUGCCAGCCGCCGCAGUAA